AGAGAGAGAAUCUUCUAUUUGUUCAUUCUCCAAAUGACCACAAUGGGCAGGAGCCAGGAAUUCCGUCCAGGACUCCCACAUGGGUGGCAGCCACACAAGGACUUGAGCCAUCUUCUGAUGCUUUCCCAGGUGCAUUAGCAGGGAGCUGGAUCAGAAGCAGACCAGCCAGGAUUUGAACAUGUUCCCAUACAGGAUGCUAGCACUGCAGACAGUAGCUUAACCUCAGCAUCUUGAAAGAACAGAAAUUUUGUUCAAGAAACAAAAAAACUCAUCAAAUAUGUUUUUGAAAGGAUCAAGGUGGUUACGGUACACUUUCAUUUUUUAGGAAGGUUUAUUUAUUUGAGAGGCCCUUCCCUAAUCCUUUACAGAGACUAUUAUCUUAACAUGAAAUUUCCUUGUCCUUGACCAUAAUCUCAUGUCCAUUCUGCUGAAAACUUUGUACUCAUUCUUAAAGCCAAGAGAAAAAUGUCACCUCCCCAAAGGUGCUGUUUCACACCUGUAGUCCAGUGGAACUGGACUUCAUUGCAAGCUUUAUAAAGACAGAGAUGAGUACUUCUUGAUGUCUCCAGAGCUUUCUACAAUGCCCCAUACAAGAUUGAUGCUCCCUACAUGUCACAUUUGAAUGAAUGGGAUACUAUGAACCAUAAUCUAACUGUUACACAGAGAUUGGUCUACCGCCAUUUUAUGUAUAAAAUAGAAAUAAAAUAUAUUUAUAAAAUAUA